CUUGGUAACGCGAGCUUGUGACCCGAGUGGGGGCACCAAAGCGAUGGGACGUUGGCAUAUUAUACUGGUUCGGGCUCUAGUGGCUUCUUACUGGCCUGCCCGUUCCAAGCCAAGAGUUGAGCCGGGUGGCUUGGGCGAAGGCCUUCGGGUUACGUGGUUCCUAGAGGUGGAGGGCACAGCGUGAGGCUGGUUUCACAGAGCAGCGACUACCUCCCGCUCCUGGCAGUGGAAGGAUAACGGGCUAGUGCCGCUCGAACCCAACAAGAUCCGGUGGAUUUGAUCCAGCUGGACCAUCACUUUUUUAUAUCAAUCAUUCGGUUUCUCUAAUGCUUAAUCCAAUUCUUUUGUUUGGAUGGAUGAUGUUCUGAUGUGUUCGAUUUUUAGGGAUGAAAAGUAAUUGAUACCCCCCAGUGGCAAAGAACUCUCUAGGAGUGGAGAGAUAGAAUUUUUACUAAUGAACCAUCCAUUGGAUUUUGUCCGAUCUGUGACCAGGGUGGUGGAGAAUUUUUGAGAAUUUUUACUAUGGCAUUUGGAUCUGAUCGUGGUCGGUUCUCUGAGAUGAAGAGAUCGGUGGUGGAUAAGAAUCUUGGUCCUCUGGUGAAGACUGCGAUGACUCGGUGCAUAGGGUCAGAAUCAGGGAUUUUUUAUAUUUUAACUAUAGAGCUGAUCAUUUGACUGCCCGCAAAAAACUUUUCUCUUCAUAGAAUGCCAUAUGGCGCUUCCAAUCCCCAGAAGAAUGGGAAAGUAAGGCACAACUAAAAGUGGAUCCCAGUUGUGAAUAGUAAUCAGCUGAUGCAAAUCUGCAAUCAAAGACAUCUGAUGAGAAGUAGCAUUGCUGGUUUUGAACAAGCAGAUGUGUUCCUCUCGGUCGGUACCCAGGUAAAUUUCUGAUGUAGUCAAUUCUUCGAGUAGGGGACACAUGGUCCUAACUAAUGCUUCCUUAACUAAAACUUCUUCUAAAUUAAUCCAUCACAUUGUCCAAUGUAUCAAGGUCCAUUUGUUUGCUAUUCAUGUGAGGUUCCAAAGGUGUUCUUUGUUAGGGAAUUACAUCUGUGCACCCUUCACCCUUCUUGUUCUCUUUCUCCUUUACUCCAUUAUUCAGCAUCUCCAUCACAAAACCCUUGCUAGUUUCCUAUUACUUCGAUUGUGUGGUAACCUGCGACCUCUGUAUCUUUUUAUUUUUAUUUUUUAUGUAUUGAGAUUGUGAAUCAGUGGAUAAGUAGUGCGUUUUUGUUGCAGAGGCUAGUAAAUCUUGUUUUUAUAUGUAGGUCUGGAUUUAGUUAUAUAAUUUUUCUCAUAGUAAUAUUGCCAGCCAAGGGUCGAAGCUGCCAUGGUAAAUGCUAGAAUCCGAAAGACAGUCUGUGCAACCCAAGCUAAGGUUGAGGUUACAUUGGCCCUGCAGCUGAUUUCAACCAUGAUCACCAGCAUCUUGGCACAGACCCUCAAAACACUUGUUGAGGUCCGCUACCCGUUUUCCUCUGCCCUAGUUAAUUAAUGCCAAAAACCCUGUGAUCAUUGUCGGUGCAGGUCUUUUUGAGAGGAAGGACAUGGAUGCCAUUUUCUCUGCUAUUUCACCAUUGCAAAACGUUCCAACGUUGUCAGACCUGAUUGGAAUGGUUUCAAUGCAUAAUGCAAGCACUCAUAAAUUACAUAUAACCAUGCAUGAUGCAAGCACUCAAAAAAUUACAAGGAAAAGACAGUCUCGGGCAAUAAAGAUAACAAUAUAACUAUUCCAAUAAUGGAGAUCCGACCCUUUCGUUUUGUCAUUGAUACAAAACCCAUUAUUUAACACAAGAGGGAGAUUCAUGAAGGAAGCAAGCAAUAAGCUCACCUUACAGCCCCGUAUACAAUGGCAAAUGAUGCAGAAAAUAACAGGACAGUACUACUCUAAUGGAAAG